AGCAGGGCUGACCCCAGGGCCUCAAACCCGGAGGCCCGCGAGCUGCGCGGGCCGUCAGCACCCCUAGCCCCGGCGCGGCGGCGUGCGUUCCCGCCUUUGUCCAGCUCUGGGUUUUCAAACCUUGCCCCGCUGAACCAUUACUCCCUGUAGGGGAGUCUCGCUUGCUUCUCUUCAGAUGCAAAACGAAAUGGACCUUCACACAGCUGGGGCAUCCUCCAAAACAACUUUAUCAAGUUCCUGACUCUGAAAGCCAGCUUAUUGCCGACUACUGAGAACGAACCCUGCGGUCUAGGAAAUUUCCGUGCUUCUCACAUUUGAGUUAUGCGUCUUUGCUUUUUUUCACGUUUGUUGCAGAGGCUAGAACUUAAUAAGGGAUCGCAAAGAGAAGAGAACAGACUAAGACAGAAAAUUGGGACCAAGAAGUGGAGUUAUUUCUGUUACAAAUACUUGAAAUUGUGCAAGCAGCUUUGGAAUUCGGUAAUGAGUAGAGGCUACAAGAAUUUGGAGGAGCAAGCAAGAAAAGUGCUCCUCAGACACCCUAG
rnacentral:lncRNA from 1 species